rnacentral:rRNA from 1 species
UACAGAGGGGGCAAGCGUUGUUCGGAAUUACUGGGCGUAAAGGGCGCGUAGGCGGCCCGCUAAGUCGAACGUGAAAUCCCCGAGCUCAACUCGGGAACUGCGUCCGAUACUGGCGGGCUUGAAUCCGGGAGAGGGAUGCAGAAUUCCAGGUGUAGCGGUGAAAUGCGUAGAUAUCUGGAGGAACACCGGUGGCGAAGGCGGCAUCCUGGACCGGCAUUGACGCUGAGGCGCGAAAGCUAGGGGAGCAAACGGG